AUGUGGGGGCACACUAAGGACUUGGGGACCACCCGAUGGACCUGGAUCUUCUGGGGACCUGGCAUCACCCCAAGGGGCUUGGGGCCACCGCGGGAAUGCAGGACAGCUGUCACCAAGGAUUUGGAACCAUCCCAAGGAUCUGGGACCUUCUUGGGGACCCAGGACCACCCCAAAGACCUGGCACCACCCCAAGGACCCAGCAGGAGUGUUCUCAAGGACUUGGGGCCACCCCAGGGAUGUGGGACCACCCCAGAGAGCCAAGACAAGUGUCCUCAAGGACCUGGGACCACCUCAAGGACUUGGGACCUUCUUGGGGGCCUCCAGUCACCAUGGGGACUGAGGACCACCCCAAGGACUCAAGGCCACCCUGCAGCCUCCUGCCCCAGGACAAGUGGCCCUAAGGAGCUGGGAUAUGUGGGUCCCCUGGGGGGCAGUGGGAUCACGGCCUCCAUGCCCACGUGGCCUUUCCACUGCCACGUGGUUUCCAUCCAUCCGCACGAGGUCUCCAUCUCUGUCUCCACAUGGUCUCAUCCCCUUUUGGUCUCCAUCCACCUUUCCAUUCCUACAUGGUCUCCAUUGCCACCUGAUCUCUGUCUGUCUCCAGCCCCAUGUGGUCUGCAUCCAUCUAUCUGCAUGUGGUUUUUGCCCAUCUUUCCAUCCCCAUGUGGUCUCCAUCUUUCUCUCUGUUGCGCGUGCACACUCUCUCUUCAUCCCCACGUGGCCUCCAUCCCUCUCUCCAUCCAUCUUUCCAUCCCCAUGUGGUCUCCAUCUUUCUCUCUGUUGCGCGUGCACACUCUCUCUUCAUCCCCACGUGGCCUCCAUCCCUCUCCAUCUUUCUGUCUCCACAUGGUCUCCAGCUAUCCCUCUGUCCAUGUGCCCCACACAAGAACCGUCCCUCCAGCCCCACGCGCUCCUGUCCACCCAGGCUGCACCUGGCCUGCCCAGAAAGCCACUGGUGCCCCGGUGUUUCCUUCUUGUCUCCGCUAGAGGGUGGUGAGAUCCAGCACUUUCCCUUUCAAGACCUAUUUUUGAGGGUUUUCCGCUCGUUUCAGCUGGCACGGCGCUCCUGGCCCCGUCCCCGGCUGCCAGGAGGUGGUUUCGGGGCACCCCUCGUUCUCAGGGCUCUUCCUGAAGGAACAGAUCCCUUUGUUGGAGGACCAGGUCCCUUUCUCCUCCUCUCCAUCCCCCCAUCCUCACGCACCUCCGCGCUCUCCCUCCAUCCGCGUUCGCCGCUGCCGCCCUUCUGCGGCUCCGUGCCGUCACCCGCCUGUAGGGGCACCGGGGGGGGGGGGGGGGCGUGGGGGGGCGCGCGGCCCGUCGGGGGCGGGGCCCCUCUAGGGGCGGGGCCUCGGACGGGGGCGGGGCGAUCGCGAGCUCUCCG
rnacentral:lncRNA from 1 species